rnacentral:lncRNA from 1 species
UCUCGGGAAAUUUAGUUCUCGGGUCCUUCGGGAACAAGAUGGAACAUUGGACUCGAUCUCAGGUUAAAUUGACGUAGAUUCGACAACGCUUCGCUCUAGCCAAAAUUGAACUCUUCCGGUGUCAAAUUUGCGCGGCCUUAUAUACCCUUUUUGGACAAAGGCUUCUUGGAUAUCCGAAUUUGGUCGCCUCAGUUUGAAUCUGGGCUCUCUGAUUGGCUGAUAAAAUGGCGGGAAUUAUAAAUUACACAGAUAAUCGCGCUUUCGGGUGUCAAAUUCCUUCGAGGAAUUCGUAAUUUGAUGUUAAAGUUUGGAAAGAAAAAAAUGGAAUUUAGAUAUAUAAAAUGAUUCAGAAAUGGA